rnacentral:lncRNA from 1 species
GGUCCACAGCCUUGAGUUGCCCACUCAGAGCGAACUAGAGGAAGGCUGCUUGAUGUUAUGGGCUGUCAGAUAAGUUGCCGGAUGAGUUUCUAGGUAUGAUGCCACCCCCCAUGCCUUCUUCCAUGACUCGGCUUCUUCCAACACAAGACACAAGUGAUUUUCAAAGUGGCUAUGGCAAAGUUUCUUCCUACCUGUCCCCUCACUGCCUGGAGAUGCUGCGGUUCUUUGUCCAUUUCAUGUAAAUGUUGUCUUUUGUUGUAGUGUGAACAACAGCCCACCUCUCUUUUCUCAGGACCAUUUGUUCCCCUUUGCUAAAAUCUAUUUUCAAAAGCAGUGUCCUUGAAAAAAAAAAAACCUUCCAAACGCAGAAUCUUUGAAAAAAAAAAAAAAAGGCAGUUGGGUAUAAUUCUGACUUUAUAAAUGGAUGGCCUAGGAAAUUAAACAGUUUGCCUGGGCCUUUUUUCCUUGACACACCUUCACAGCUUUCAUAUUAUUUCUGUUUUUAGUUAGAUUUCUUGGCAAGAAGGAUUGAAAUUUCAGCAAACAAAUGCUCACGGUGUGUUUGCAUCUUUAAAAGUUUGGGACUAUUUUUGUACAAAUCGAGUAAACAUAUUUACACACACACCCCAAAAUGACAAGGCAGCUUAAGGACAUUUCUGUCACAUCCUGUUCUGUUUCACUUCUCAGCUCCUGGCAGCAAAGAGUCACUUGCCACUUGUAGGGGGUCUCCAGUUUCUAAUUAUCCUACAUCUAAAGUAUUUGUUGAAUUGGUUUUCUCCUUUCGCCCAUACUGCUGUUUCAUGAGUAUGGACUUCUGUAAGGGACUGGCAUCCUCCGCGUGACACUAGCCCUCGUUCUCUACCAUGAGCUGGCUGUGUUCCUGGGUCGAAGCUCCCUGUGCCUCUCUCUCAGCCACCUUGCAUGUCCAGACUCUACACCAUGCACUGGCUUUCCACCAUUUUUCCUUCAUUCCUCUGGAGCGACACUCCAGCCCCUGCCUGUUACCUGCACAGGUGAGGUAUGCAUGAAAUAUGAAGCCUUACUAGAAAUGGUGCUCUUCUCCAUAUCCUUGAAUACCCUGCCCAAUACCAGAGAUCCCCCUUCAUUCUUCUGUCAUUCCUGUAGAAUUCUAAGCUGCCAUUUGAAGCCACAGCACCCUAAGGAGCCUUUGCUGGCUUUGCUGUGUUCCCAUUACACGUGCAUGCACAGCCCUUCAAAUGAGGGAGUUGGCAAAUGCAUGCGUUUAAGUUCCCUUGAAAGCAGAAGCAAGAGAGUGUACGUCUUGGAAUCCCAAUUGUAUAAUAAUCAAGUGUGUGUGUGUGUGUGUGUGUGUGUGUGUGUGUGUGUGUGUGUGUGUGCUGAGUAUCUGCUUUACUGAAUGAAGUUUAUCUCCACUAUUGACUAAGAACAAAACUCUAAUAGAAAGACAACCAAGGAGUCAUUGAUUGGAAGGAAUCUACACAUAGCAACUCACAAAAAUCCUCUUAUCUAAAUCUUAUAAGAACAUUUUGGUAUGGGUUGAACAACCAGUAUUUUAUAAAACUGAAAGAACUAAUAUGUUAGCUUAAAAUAGAUUUUUUUUUAAAGGCCAACUUCCUUAUGGAGAAGUAUUGAAUCUAUGCAUAGAAUAUUUGUCUAAUUGUUAGAGGGAAAAGUUGCUUAAUCAAGUUUCAGAGAGGACUCUGUACAAAAAUGAAUUAUUUAAUUGUGUGCUGGUCUGUGAAGAGUUUUCAUUUUGCCAAACUAUCUGGCUUUUCUUCCUAAGACAUCUGGGUAUUAGGUGGCCUCUGGGGCAAGCCCAGUUUCUAGAGUUUCAUGGAUGACAGUAUACAAACCUCCAGACUGUACCGAGUUGGAACCAUCAGAUUCUAGGUUUAAAAAAGAAUGCUGUCAUUUAUUAAGCUCAUUUUUUAAAAGAGCAACUGUCAGUCCCUCAGCUGCUAGAAGGUUUUGGAGGGAUUCAUUACUUCUGUGUUUCCAUCACAUUGUGCUUUUGGCUACAACAUCAGGGGUGUCUGGAGCUCAUGAUAACUACCCCUCCCCACAGCCCCCAACCAGUCUGUUCCAUUGGCCUGUGCCUCUUUUGGAAGCUCCUGAAGGAAGUGUCAUCUUAGAUUAUAGAUCAUUGGAAAGUCACUAUAUUCCAGUAAUAUGAUUUUUUCCUUACUGUCUUUGGCCUGCCUAGUUUCUCUCCAAGUCUGUCAUAGCUAGACAUCUCACCCUCUUUUUGGUUACCAGCUCAGAUGACAGCUAGCACUUUUAUUUUCCAUGAUGAAUUAGUUGCAGUUUUUACCAUCUUCUAGAAUUCAGUAUAAAUGAAGACAGUUGCCUCCUGAUAUGUUAACCUAGCAUUUUUAUGUUUAAAACUGUUAUGUUUUGGGGAAUCUAUCACAUACUAUUUACUUUUAUUUUUUAAUGGUAAUCUAUUUUGAUACUUGAAAUAGAAUGUGGGUUUUAUUUAAUCUCAAACAGGAAGAGUAAAUCCACUGUGCCUUCAGUCCCAAUAGCUUUACAUAACUGUAAGUUGCUUCUAUUCAAGUUAAAAAGAGUUUUCUCUGAAUCCAUUCUUUUCCACAGAACUUCCAGUGGUAGUAGAAAUAACAUGUAAUGUAUAUAGAUUGUCAUUCUUGUGUCCAACUGGGAUUAUAAAUGACUAGUGAAAGUCACUAUUCCAGAAAGAUUACAGCAAAAUUGAUGUUU